GGCGUGCUUAACACAUGCAAGUCGAACGAAGAGCGAUGGAAGCUUGCUUCUAUCAAUCUUAGUGGCGAACGGGUGAGUAACGCGUAAUCAACCUGCCCUUCAGAGGGGGACAACAGUUGGAAACGACUGCUAAUACCGCAUACGAUCUAACCUUGGCAUCGAGGAUGGAUGAAAGGUGGCCUCUAUUUAUAAGCUAUCACUGAAGGAGGGGAUUGCGUCUGAUUAGCUAGUUGGAGGGGUAACGGCCCACCAAGGCGAUGAUCAGUAGCCGGUCUGAGAGGAUGAACGGCCACAUUGGGACUGAGACACGGCCCAGACUCCUACGGGAGGCAGCAGUGGGGAAUCUUCCGCAAUGGACGAAAGUCUGACGGAGCAACGCCGCGUGAGUGAUGACGGCCUUCGGGUUGUAAAGCUCUGUUAAUCGGGACGAAAGGCCUUCUUGCGAAUAGUGAGAAGGAUUGACGGUACCGGAAUAGAAAGCCACGGCUAACUAC
rnacentral:rRNA from 1 species